GAUGAACGCUAGCGGCAGGCCUAAUACAUGCAAGUCGAACGGAUAUAUGUUUUUCGGAAUAUAUAUUAGUGGCGCACGGGUGAGUAACACGUACAUAACUUGCCCUCAAGCGGGGGAUAGCCUUGGGAAACUGAGAGUAAUACCCCAUAGAAUUAUUGGACGGCAUCGUUUGAUAAUUAAAACUACGGUGUUUGGGGAUAGAUGUGCGUCUGAUUAGCUAGUUGGUGAGGUAACUGCUCACCAAGGCGACGAUCAGUAGGGGGCGUGAGAGCGUGGCCCCCCACACGGGUACUGAGACACGGACCCGACUCCUACGGGAGGCAGCAGUAAGGAAUAUUGGUCAAUGGAGGGAACUCUGAACCAGCCAUGCCGCGUGAAGGAUGACGGCCCUCUGGGUUGUAAACUUCUUUUGGAUGGGGCGAAAAACGGGAUUUAUCCUGGACUGACGGUACCAUCAGAAUAAGCACCGGCUAACUCCGUG
rnacentral:rRNA from 1 species